UACAAGCAACUGAGGAGGGUUGGGCAAACAUGAAGAGGUCCUGCCAGGACCAUGAUAGAACCUGCUGCUUGGAGAGGAGGGAGUCAAUCUGCAGAGGCCAGCACAGAGCAAGGCAGAGAUGGGGGCUGCAAUGCAUGGCUCGUGGUACAGCCCAAUGCUUAUAGAUUGAUGGGUAUUUUUGCAUUUCCUUUCUGAGACGCUGCCUUGAAGGUGUGGCCUCCAUCACUGCCUAAGUGGGAUCUUCAGGAGUUUGAGAUCCUGAUAAUCCAGCUUCCCUUACUCAGCUAUUUCUUAAUCCUUUUAGAUGAUGCGUUAGAGACAGUCCUUGGAAGACAGAGACCCACUUAUCAAACACCAACCAUGCACAUAAGGCAAAGGAACUGCUAGUGCAAUCGGAGAGAGUAACCUGAAGGGAAAGCAGAGGAGAAAUCAGUUUGCAGUGAGCUGUCCAGAAGAUGAUGAGCUCUUAAAGGGAGGCUCUAAUUUUAUGGAAAGAACAUUUGGUAACUCAGGAACUGGGUAGG